rnacentral:piRNA from 1 species
UGCAAGAUGGGUAAGGUGCGAGUGGCC